UACAGAGGGGGCAAGCGUUAUUCGGAAUUAUUGGGCGUAAAGGGCGCGUAGGCGGCCUGGCAAGUGGAAGGUGAAAUCCCUCGGCUUAACCGAGGAACUGCCCUCCAAACUGCUUGGCUUGAGUCCGGGAGAGGUGAGUGGAAUUCCCAGUGUAGCGGUGAAAUGCGUAGAUAUUGGGAGGAACACCAGUGGCGAAGGCGGCUCACUGGACCGCAACUGACGCUGAGGCGCGAAAGCGUGGGGAGCAAACGGG
rnacentral:rRNA from 1 species